rnacentral:snoRNA from 1 species
ACCUUCCAGAUUCCUUCCCCAUCUAAUCUAAACAUUGGUCUGAGUGGCUACCAAAGGAAGCAAAGUAAAAGUGAAACGGACUUGAAUUCUUUUGUGAGAUAGAAGAUCGUUUCAAAAAAAG